AAUGCCAUUUUUUUACAUGUAUGCAAGGAGCAGUUGCUAGAAUAUUAUAGUUGGUAAUUGGUAUAUAAACAUCAGUUCCCAUUGUUUACCAUAUAUCUUUUCUAAACGUCAUUUCUAUUUAUUGUGAGGGAUUUGUUAUAGAAAUCAUCCUCUCAGGCGGGAUUUCGGUGCCAAAGGUCAUAUCGGCCGUGGAGGGGGCCGUCAGCCUCGGCGACCAUGGCUCAUUGGGUUCUUUCCAUUUGCUGCCAAGCUUUAGUAGGGUACAGGGUACUGUUUACUACCCUGGCUUUUCUUGUCCUAGCAGAAGCACAAAACUAAUCAGGACCAACCACUGCAAAAUGUGAUUGACAUAGAUCUCACACAUCUAUUCAACAUUGCACAAACAUUGGUGCCUUUUUCAUUCCUUGUGCUAAGACAAUAUUUUUAGCUCAUUCGGGGUACUGUACAAUCCAGAGUUUCUUUUUCGAUGCCAUACCAAUCGUUUCUCUCUGCUUGCUGAGACUUGAAGAAAACUUUGGUGCGUUGUCUCUUUUCGUUUCUGUCAGAUUCAUUGCUGCCUUCCAGCAAUCUAGCUCUUUACCCUUUACAGUAUUUCCUUUCCAUUUGAUAAAUAUAUACUUUUUUAGGCUUGAAAUCUUCUUUCUCUGUUCUGAGGACUGCUACAAACUUGUAACAGAUGGAUUAAUCGCUUCUUUUCUUAUUUUUUAGGGCAUGAUGAAAUCAGUGUUUGCUAUUUAGCCUCCUUCACAACUAAGAUCAUCCUACAUAAUAGAUUUAGACAACAAAAACUUAUGGAGUUUACUGAAAUGCCCUUUCAGGCAUGCCCCAUCUGUGCUACAAGGGUCGGAAUGGACUUGAUAGGACAUUUGAUUAUGCAACAUGGAAGUUAUUUCAAGAUAUCCUUUUUUAACUAUGUUGUCGUUGCUGAUCAUUUGCAUUUUUACAUUUUUCACAUUAUACUACAGUUGAAGAUACAUAGGUGUCAUGGUCGGGUGCACGUCACGGGCCCGGCGGCGCCUGGAGUACGUGCGCCCGACCAUGACCGCGACCAUGACAAUAGGUAUGUUGGAACACAGAAUUUACAGAUUGUUUUCCUUAAUGAAUAAUACAUGCAACGCAGGCGCAGAGUCCGAAAAGUAUCUUCUAGGUCCCAUUCUUUAUUAUCUUUGUUGAGAAAGGACUUGAGAAAUGGCAGUUUGCAGUCAUUUCUCGGUGGAUCAUCCUAUGUAUCCAAUCCUCCUGCUGCAGCACCAAAUUCUAUUAGUAUCUGUCUGCUGGAACUCUCGGUCUAAAAGGUGCUUUUAGCAAGGUUGCCAAGGUCGGUCAUGUUGCUGGCUCAAGAACCAGAGAAAAGUUACAAUUGGUUGUAUCAGAUCUAGCAGCCAAAGUGAAUCGUCAAGCGAUUUUGUUUCAAGUAAAAAGGCAAACUUGUUUUGCGUGCAGCUAGAACUCGUGAUGUUGGUGCAUCCUGCUGAUUGCAAAAGCAUGUUAGAUGCUUUCAUAGCUGGUUGUGAUUUCCAUUCCAGGACAACCAUGAGCAUGUAUCAGCAUAUUCGUGAGACUGUUGAAGAAGAGAAAGUAAUUCUUGAGUAGCAUCCUCAACCCGAUCAAGAGAAAUCUCCCAUGUUGUUGUUGAAGGAUGCUUUUGGUGCUGAGAGGAGGAAAGCUAUAAGAUGCUAAAUCUCUCCAUUGCAUACGGAAAAACGUAGGAAGGUACAAACUUGUCAAACAAACAUAGCUCUAAAUUAAGCAGCAAUCAACCUUAGUGUUCAUUACACUUAAAUAUGAGCUUUGGCCUUUGGAUUGGUUUGUGCUGGUCAGCUAGAAACCUGAAAACAACAAACUUGUUGAGUAGCGAUGUUUACAAGAAAUGUAGCCUUCAUGGGCUCUUGUAACCCUUUCUCUCUUGUCAGAUUUUUGUUAAGGAAGCAAAA